ACAUCCAGAGAACUUAGCAGAGAUGCUUUGGUGCCUUCGGGAACUCUGAGACAGGUGCUGCAUGGCUGUCGUCAGCUCGUGUUGUGAAAUGUUGGGUUAAGUCCCGNAACGAGCGCAACCCUUUAUCCUUUGUUGCCAGCGGUUCGGCCGGGAACUCAAAGGAGACUGCCGGUGAUAAACCGGAGGAAGGUGGGGAUGACGUCAAGUCAUCAUGGCCCUUACGGCCAGGGCUACACACGUGCUACAAUGGCGCAUACAAAGAGAAGCGACCUCGCGAGAGCAAGCGGACCUCAUAAAGUGCGUCGUAGUCCGGAUUGGAGUCUGCAACUCGACUCCAUGAAGUCGGAAUCGCUAGUAAUCGUAGAUCAGAAUGCUACGGUGAAUACGUUCCCGGGCCUUGUACACACCGCCCGUCACACCAUGGGAGUGGGUUGCAAAAGAAGUAGGUAGCUUAACCUUCGGGAGGGCGCUUACCACUUUGUGAUUCAUGACUGGGGUGAAGUCGUAACAAGGUAGGCGUAGCGAG
rnacentral:rRNA from 1 species